GCCAUUAGCUCAGUUGGUAGAGCAUGAGACUCUUAAUCUCAGGGCCAUGGGCUCGAGCCCCAUGUUGGGCA